UACGGAGGGUGCGAGCGUUGUCCGGAAUCAUUGGGCGUAAAGGGCGCGUAGGUGGCCCCUCAAGCGUGCGGUGAAAGUCAGGGGCUCAACCCCUGAUCGGCCGUGCGAACUGGGGAGCUUGAGCACUGUAGAGGCAGGCGGAAUUCCGGGUGUAGCGGUGGAAUGCGUAGAGAUCCGGAAGAACACCGGUGGCGAAGGCGGCCUGCUGGGCAGUUUUGCUGACACUGAGGCGCGACAGCGUGGGGAGCAGACAGG
rnacentral:rRNA from 1 species